UUUGGCUUCUCUGUGUGCAACCAAGUUGUAGAACUGAGAAAGCCAGAAGGACAUGGAGAGGGAGCCCCCAAUUUCAGCUGCCCUGGAGGAUCUCUGAUCACACCGGAAGCUGUCCAGGAUGCCAGCAUGAGAUGCCUGGAGAGAGGGGAAGUGGCUUGAGGUGCAGAUGGGGACCAAGAAGUCACACCCGCGGAGCCUGCUCCAAUCCACAAUGUGACUUUGCUGUUCUGCCGGUCACAGGCUGGAAUUUAUUUCUCUGUUGUUUGAAGUCAGGCCAGCCUGUGAUAUGGAAAGUGCCAGCAGGGCCUUGUGCAAGUCCCAAGGCUUGAGCCUCAAGGGGACUUGUGGCUUUGGUCUUCACCUGCCCUUGUAACCACCAUACAGAUACCAGGCCAACUUCCAUGGAUGGAUUUCAGCCAUUUUUGCCUCUUGCCUGGAAUGAAGAAUGCUGCCAUCUACUAGGAGCUGACUUCUCUCCCCACUCCUCCCCACCCUCCUCACCCCUCCCCACCCACCCUUUUCCUCCUAAAGUUGUUUGUUUUAUCAGAUCUUUUAUCACAACAGGAAAUUGCCAACACUCCUCUUUGGUUAGAUUUCCCCCGAGUUUUCUUAAUUGAUUAAUGACGUUUUCAUUUCUGGUAUUUAGAAAUACAAUGUCAUUUU
ensembl:lincRNA